rnacentral:rRNA from 1 species
GGGAUGAGGAGAGAAUCCUAAGGCCGACGGGAGAAGCAUUGUUAAGGAACUCGGCAAAAUGACCCCGUAACUUCGGGAGAAGGGGUGCCUCGAAAGAGGCCGCAGAGAAUUGGCCCAAGCAACUGUUUAGCAAAAACACAGGUCUAUGCAAAACCGAAAGGUGAGGUAUAUGGGCUGACGCCUGCCCGGUGCUGGAAGGUUAAGAGGAGAGCUUAGCGCAAGCGAAGGUUUGAAUUUAAGCCCCAGUAAACGGCGGCCGUAACAAUAACGGUCCUAAGGUAGCGAAAUUCCUUGUCGGGUAAGUUCCGACCCGCACGAAAGGCGUAAUGAUUUGGGCGCUGUCUCGACAAUGCACCCGGUGAAAUUGAAGUACCAGUGAAGAUGCUGGUUACCCGCGCCAGGACGGAAAGACCCCAUGGAGCUUUACUCUAGCUUGAUACUGGGAUUCGGUAUUGUCUGUACAGGAUAGGUGGGAGGCUAUGAACCGUGGACGCCAGUCUGCGGGGAGCCGCUGUUGGGAUACCACCCUUACAAUACUGGAUUUCUAACCUGCCGCCAUGACCUGGCGGAGGGACAAUGUCUGGUGGGGAGUUUGACUGGGGCGGUCGCCUCCGAAAGAGUAUCGGAGGCGCUCAAAGGUCCUCUCAGGAUGGACGGAAACCAUCCGAAGAGUGCAAAGGCAUAAGAGGGCUUGACUGUGACACCGACGGGUGGAGCAGGUACGAAAGUAGGACUUAGUGAUCCGGUGGUAGAAAGUGGGAUUGCCAUCGCUCAACGGAUAAGAGCUACCCUGGGAUAACAGGCUUAUCACUCCCAAGAGUUCACAUCGACGGAGUGGUUUGGCACCUCGAUGUCGGCUCAUCGCAUCCUGGGGCUGUAGCAGGUCCCAAGGGUUGGGCUGUUCGCCCAUUAAAGCGGUACGCGAGCUGGGUUCAGAACGUCGUGAGACAGUUCGGUCCCUAUCCGGCGCGGGCGUAGGAUAUUUGAGAGGAGCUGUCCUUAGUACGAGAGGACCGGGAUGGACGAACCGCUGGUGGAUCGGUUGCAUUAUCAAGUGCAUGGCCGAGUAGCCAAGUUCGGAAGGGAUAAACGCUGAAGGCAUCUAAGCGUGAAGCCCCCCUCAAGAUGAGAUAUCCCAUUCUUUAAAAGAAGUAAGACCCCUUGAAGACCACGAGGUAGAUAGGGCAGAGGUGGAAGUACGGUAACGUAUGGAGCUGACUGUCACUAAUCGGUCGAGGGCUUGAUCAA